GACGAACGCUGGCGGCGUGCUUAACACAUGCAAGUCGAGCGGUAAGGCCCUUUCGGGGUACGACGAGCGGCGAACGGGUGAGUAACACGUGGGUGACCUGCCCUCAGCUCUGGGAUAAGCCUGGGAAACCGGGUACUAAUACUGGAUAUGACUCCAUGACGCAUGUUGUGGGGUGGAAAGCCUUGUGCGGCUGAGGAUGGGCCCGCGGCCUAUCAGCUUGUUGGUGGGGUGAUGGCCUACCAAGGCGACGACGGGUAGCCGGCCUGAGAGGGCGACCGGCCACAUUGGGACUGAGACACGGCCCAGACUCCUACGGGAGGCAGCAGUGGGGAAUCUUGCGCAAGUGGGCGAAAGCCUGACGCAGCGACGCCGCGUGAGGGA
rnacentral:rRNA from 1 species